UGAGGUUUGAGAAUUGUGGGUUUAAG
rnacentral:piRNA from 1 species